rnacentral:miRNA from 1 species
AGGGGUGUUCAUCGAAUCGAAUU